rnacentral:rRNA from 1 species
AGUAGCGCGUGGGGAACCUGCCUUGGAGUGGGGAAUAACAGUUAGAAAUAGCUGCUAAUACCGCAUAAUGCAACUAAGUCGCAUGGCUUUGGUUGCCAAAGAUUUAUCGCUCUAAGAUGGCCUCGCGUCUGAUUAGAUAGUUGGCGGGGUAACGGCCCACCAAGUCGACGAUCAGUAGCCGGACUGAGAGGUUGGCCGGCCACAUUGGGACUGAGACACGGCCCAGACUCCUACGGGAGGCAGCAG